rfam:Ascoidea rubescens DSM 1968 unplaced genomic scaffold ASCRTscaffold_6, whole genome shotgun sequence.
GGGUGGUUAGUGUAGUGGUUAUCAUACUUGCCUUCCAAGCAAGUGACAUGGGUUCGAUUCCCGUACCAUUCA